rnacentral:rRNA from 1 species
UCGGAGCUUGCUCCACCGGAAAAAGAAGAGUGGCGAACGGGUGAGUAACACGUGGGUAACCUGCCCAUCAGAAGGGGAUAACACUUGGAAACAGGUGCUAAUACCGUAUAACAAUCGAAACCGCAUGGUUUUGAUUUGAAAGGCGCUUUCGGGUGUCGCUGAUGGAUGGACCCGCGGUGCAUUAGCUAGUUGGUGAGGUAACGGCUCACCAAGGCCACGAUGCAUAGCCGACCUGAGAGGGUGAUCGGCCACAUUGGGACUGAGACACGGCCCAAACUCCUACGGGAGGCAGCAGUAGGGAAUCUUCGGCAAUGGACGAAAGUCUGACCGAGCAACGCCGCGUGAGUGAAGAAGGUUUUCGGAUCGUAAAACUCUGUUGUUAGAGAAGAACAAGGAUGAGAGUAACUGUUCAUCCCUUGACGGUAUCUAACCAGAAAGCCACGGCUAACUACGUGCCAGCAGCCGCGGUAAUACGUAGGUGGCAAGCGUUGUCCGGAUUUAUUGGGCGUAAAGCGAGCGCAGGCGGUUUCUUAAGUCUGAUGUGAAAGCCCCCGGCUCAACCGGGGAGGGUCAUUGGAAACUGGGAGACUUGAGUGCAGAAGAGGAGAGUGGAAUUCCAUGUGUAGCGGUGAAAUGCGUAGAUAUAUGGAGGAACACCAGUGGCGAAGGCGGCUCUCUGGUCUGUAACUGACGCUGAGGCUCGAAAGCGUGGGGAGCAAACAGGAUUAGAUACCCUGGUAGUCCACGCCGUAAACGAUGAGUGCUAAGUGUUGGAGGGUUUCCGCCCUUCAGUGCUGCAGCUAACGCAUUAAGCACUACCGCCUGGGGAGUACGACCGCAAGGUUGAAACUCAAAGGAAUUGACGGGGGCCCGCACAAGCGGUGGAGCAUGUGGUUUAAUUCGAAGCAACGCGAAGAACCUUACCAGGUCUUGACAUCCUUUGACCACUCUAGAGAUAGAGCUUCCCCUUCGGGGGCAAAGUGACAGGUGGUGCAUGGUUGUCGUCAGCUCGUGUCGUGAGAUGUUGGGUUAAGUCCCGCAACGAGCGCAACCCUUAUUGUUAGUUGCCAUCAUUUAGUUGGGCACUCUAGCAAGACUGCCGGUGACGAAACCGGAGGAAGGUGGGGAUGACGUCAAAUCAUCAUGCCCCUUAUGACCUGGGCUACACACGUGCUACAAUGGGAAGUACAACGAGUCGCGAAGUCGCGAGGCUAAGCUAAUCUCUUAAAGCUUCUCUCAGUUCGGAUUGUAGGCUGCAACUCGCCUU